rnacentral:tRNA from 1 species
AUUUUUCUAAUAUAAUAAGUAUAAUUGACUUCCAAUCAAUAAGUCUGGACCUCCAGGAAAAAUA